UACCAGCACCCCGAGUGGUCGGGACGAUUAUUGGGCCUAAAGCAUCCGUAGCCGGUUGUACAAGUCCUCCGUUAAAUCCAGCUGCUUAACAGAUGGGCUGCGGAGGAUACUAUAAGACUAGGAGGCAGGAGAGGCAAGCGGUACUCAGUGGGUAGGGGUAAAAUCCGUUGAUCCAUUGAAGACCACCAGUGGCGAAGGCGGCUUGCCAGAAUGCGCUCGACGGUGAGGGAUGAAAGCUGGGGGAGCAAACCGG
rnacentral:rRNA from 1 species